rnacentral:rRNA from 1 species
UACGUAGGGUGCGAGCGUUGUCCGGAAUUAUUGGGCGUAAAGGGCUCGUAGGCGGUUUGUUGCGUCUGCUGUGAAAGCCCGGGGCUUAACCCCGGGUCUGCAGUGGAUACGGGCAGGCUAGAGUCCGGCAGGGGAGACUGGAAUUCCUGGUGUAGCGGUGGAAUGCGCAGAUAUCAGGAGGAACACCGGUGGCGAAGGCGGGUCUCUGGGCCGAUACUGACGCUGAGGAGCGAAAGCGUGGGGAGCGAACAGG